AGUUUUAUAGUUUAAUAAAAAUUUUAAAUUGCAAGUUUAAAGAUACUGGUGAAUUGGUUAAGACUU
rnacentral:tRNA from 1 species